rnacentral:rRNA from 1 species
GACGAACGCUGGCGGCGUGCCUAAUACAUGCAAGUUGAGCGCUGAAGGUUGGUACUUGUACCAACUGGAUGAGCAGCGAACGGGUGAGUAACGCGUGGGGAAUCUGCCUUUGAGCGGGGGACAACAUUUGGAGACGAAUGCUAAUACCGCAUAAAAACUUUAAACACAAGUUUUAAGUUUGAAAGAUGCAAUUGCAUCACUCAAAGAUGAUCCCGCGUUGUAUUAGCUAGUUGGUGAGGUAAAGGCUCACCAAGGCGAUGAUACAUAGCCGGACUGAGAGGGUGAUCGGCCACAUUGGGACUGGGACACGGCCCAAACUCCUACGGGAGGCAGCAGUAGGGAAUCUUCGGCAAUGGACGGAAGUCUGACCGAGCAACGCCGCGUGAGUGAAGAAGGUUUUCGGAUCGUAAAACUCUGUUGGUAGGGAAGAACGUUGGGGAGAGUGGAAAGCGCAUCAAGUGACGGUAACUACCCAGAAAGGGACGGCUAACUACGUG